GCAUAUCAAUAAGCGGAGGAAAAGAAAACCAACAGGGAUUGCCCCUAGUAACGGCGAGUGAAGCGGCAAUAGCUCAAAUUUGAAAGCUGGCUUAUGGCCCCGCAUUGUAAUUUGUAGAGGAUGCUUUUUAGGCAGCCGCCGGUCUAAGUUCCUUGGAACAGGACGUCAUAGAGGGUGAGAAUCCCGUAUGUGACCGGCUCUGGCACCUUAUGUAAAGCUCCUUCGACGAGUCGAGUUGUUUGGGAAUGCAGCUCUAAAUGGGAGGUAAAUUUCUUCUAAAGCUAAAUACUGGCGAGAGACCGAUAGCGCACAAGUAGAGUGAUCGAAAGAUGAAAAGCACUUUGGAAAGAGAGUUAAAAAGCACGUGAAAUUGUUGAAAGGGAAGCGCUUGCAAUCAGACUUGGACUUGACUGUUCAACAGGUCUUCUGACCUGCCUAUUCAGUCUUGUCCAGGCCAGCAUCAGUUUCGGCGGCCGGAUAAAGGCCCUAGGAAUGUGGCUUUCCCUUCGGGGGAAGUGUUAUAGCCUAGGGUGUAAUACGGCCAGCUGGGACUGAGGUCCGCGCUUCGGCUAGGAUGCUGGCGUAAUGGUUGUAAGCGGCCCGUCUUGAAACACGGACCAAGGAGUCUAACAUCUAUGCGAGUGUUAGGGUGUCAAACCCUUACGCGUAAUGAAAGUGAACGGAGGUGAGAACCCGCAAGGGUGCAUCAUCGACCGAUCCUGAUGUCUUCGGAUGGAUUUGAGUAAGAGCAUAGCUGUUGGGACCCGAAAGAUGGUGAACUAUGCCUGAAUAGGGUGAAGCCAGAGGAAACUCUGGUGGAGGCUCGCAGCGGUUCUGACGUGCAAAUCGAUCGUCCAAUUUSGUAUAGGGGGCGAAAGACUAAUCGAACCAUCUAGUAGCUGGUUCCUGCCCGAAGUUUCCCCUCAGGAA
rnacentral:rRNA from 1 species